GACCUACACCACAGCCACAGCAAUGCAGGCUACAAGCCACAUCUGCAGUCUAUGCUUCUGCUCACAGCAACACCAGAUCCUUAACUCACUGAGCAGGGCCAGGGAUAAAACCUGCAUCCUCACGGAUGCUAGUCAGGUUCGCUAAUGGCUGAGCUACAACAGGAACUCCUGUUGAGCGUAAUUCUUUAAUGAAUAUGUUUCUACAGAGUUUUUAGUUUCCAGCAGGUGGAAUGGUUCUAACACAUCCUAUCCUGACUCCAGAGAUGGCUAUAGAUUUAGUCUUGAAAAAGAAGAGACAGGCAGUCAGAAAAAAUCUAAUACUGAUGUGAAGUUAAAGUUCUGAAAUCUAGAGUUCACAUCGUGGCUCAGCAGUUAACGAACCUGACUAGUAUCCGUGAGGACGCAGGUUCGAUCCCUGGCUUUGCUCAGUGGGUUAAGGAUCUGGCAGUUGCCAUGAGCUGUGGUGUAGGUCACGGAUGUGGUUCAGAUCCCGUGUUGCUGUGGCUGUGGUGUAGGCCGGCAGCUGUAGUUCUGAUUGGACUGUUAGCCUGGGAACCUCCAUAUGCCACAGGUGCAGCCCUCAAAAGAGAAAAGUUCUGAAAUCUUAGAAUCCAUGUGUUGGGAGUUCCCAUCAUGUCUCAGUGGUUAAUGAAUCCGAUUAGGAAACAUGAGGUUGCGGGUUUGAUCCCUGCCCUCACUCAGUGGGUUACGGAUCCGGCGCGGCUGUGAGCUAUGGUGUAGGUUGCAGAUGUGGCUUGGACCCCGAGUUGCUGUGGCUGUGGUAUGGGCCAGUGGCUACAGCUCCGAUUACACCCCUAGCCUGGGAACCUCCAUGUGCCACAGGAGCAGCCCAAAAAAUGUCAAGACAAGACAAAAAAAAAAAAAAAAAAAAGAAUCCAGGUGUUGGAGAUACUGGAGGAAGAGGAGAGUAAAAAAAUCCUAAUUAGCACCAGGGAAGUUUAGUAACAGAACACCUUAUUUUGGUUCAUUUAGGCUGCUGUGACAAGUCCCAAGACUGAGCAGCUUCAGCAACACACACUUAUUUCUCCCAAUUCUGGAGACUGGAAAUAUCAAGACCAAGGAAGCCUGCAGAUGCAGGGUCUAUUGAAGCCCACCUCCCAGUUCAGAGACGGCCAACUUCUCCUUAUAUCUGCAGAUGACAGAAGGUGAGGGAGCUCUGUGGGGUCUCCUCUAUUCGAGCACUAAUCCCAUUCAUGAGGGCUCCACCCUCGCGACCUAAUUACUUUCCAAAGAUUCCACCUCUUCUACCAUCCCACUGGGGGUCAGGAGGUCAACACAUGAACCUGGAGUGGGGUGGACACAUUCAAUCUUUUGUAUUCUACCCUUGGCCCCAUAAGAUUCAGUCCAUCUCACAUGCAAAACACAUCCAUUUUGGAUUAAGAUGAUGUACAAUGGAAUAUUACUCAGCCAUGAAAAGGAACAAAAUAAUGCCAUUUACAGCAACAUGGAUGAAACUAGAGAUUAUCACACUAAGUGAAGUCAGUCAGAAAGAAAGGAAAAUACCACAUGAUAUCACUUAGAUGUGGAAUCUAAAAUAUGGCACCAGAGUUCCCAUUGUGACUCAGCAGAAACAAAUCUGACUAGCAUCCAUGAGGACACAGGUUUGAUCCCUGGCCUUGCUCUGUGGGUUAAGGAUCCGGCAUUGAAGUGAGCUGUGGCAUAGGUCACAGAGGCAGCUGGAAUCCCACAUUGCUGUGGCUUACACAGGUCAUUGUCUACAGCUCCAGUUCGACCCCCAGCCUGGGAACCUCCAUGUGCCGCAAGUGUGGCUCUAAAAAGACAAAAAAUAAAACACGGCACAAAUGAACCUGUCUACAAAACAGAAAAAGACUCGCUGACAUAAAGAACACACUUGUGGCUGCUGAGGGGGAGGGGGAGGGAGUGGGAUGGACGGGGAGUUCGGAGUCAGCGGAUGUAACCUAUUCCACUUCGAGUGGGUGAGCAACGAGGUCCUGCUGUACAGCGCAGGGAACUAGAUCCCAUCUCCUGGGAUAGACAGUGAUGGCAAAGACUAUUAAUAAAAGAACAUAGAUACACACGUCACUUUGCUGUACACAUCCAUGAGGACAUGGGCUCAAUCCCUGGCCUCGCUCAGUGGGUUAAGGAUCCAGGGCUGCCAUGAGCUGUGGUGUAGGUCAUAGACACAGUUUGGAUCCCACAUUGCUGUGGCUGUGGCGAAGGCUGGCAGCUGUCGCUCCGAUUGUACCCCUAGCCUGGGAACCUCCAUAUGCUGCAGGCACGGCCCUGAAAAGACAAAAACAAAAGCAAACAAAACAAACAAUAGCCCAAACAUCCAUUUCACCCCAACAGCCCCCAAAGCAAAGACUUAACUCAUCCCAACAUCAACUAUCAAGUCCCAAGUCGCAUCUCAAUACCAUCUACAGUUAGUGGGAUUGGGUGAGACUUAAGGUACAUUUCAUCCAGAGGCCAAAUUCCUCUCCAGCUAUGAGCCUAUGAAUCCAAAAAAGUUAGGUGCUUCCAAAAUAUAAUGGCACAGGCAUAGGACAGGUCUCCUUCCUUCCAAAGGAGAGAGAUAAGAAAGGGUGACAGGUCUGAAACGAAAUCUAGCCAGGCGAGCUCCGAGGGAUCUGAAAACACAAGCUAGACCUCCCUGGUUUGAUCCUCUGCCUUCCAGACCCACCGGCAUCUCUCCUAUCCCUUGGCCACGCGCUGCCCCGCCGAGCUCUCUGCAGGCGCCCCACCCGUGCCCAGGCUUUCUGCAGCAUCCGUGCUGCAGUCACGGUCAGGGUGAGGGGCCGAGUCCUCUGCGCUCCCAGGGCUCAUCGGGGUGUUGGUGUUGGAGGCGGCUCUGUCCUGGGGGUCCACGCACUCUGAGCCCUGGUGACCGCUGAAGUUUUGAACCUCCGGGGUCCUCGUCCCCUCAUCCUGAAGCACAGCCUGCCGUCACAGCCCAAUCAUUCUAUGGUCCAGUCCUGUAGGUUCUAAGAAGUCCAAGAGUCUUCCCUCAUUGUAUGCUGUUUUCUCAGCUCUCU
rnacentral:lncRNA from 1 species